rnacentral:rRNA from 1 species
GACGAACGCUGGCGGCGUGCCUAAUACAUGCAAGUAGAACGGUGAGGCCCGGCCUUUCUGCGCUGCACGAGUGGCGAACGGGUGAGUAACGCGUGAGUAACCUGCCUUUGACUGUGGGAUAACUUCAGGAAACUGGGGCUAAUACCGGAUAGGAGCACUUGCUGCAUGGCGGGGGUUUGAAAGUUUCGGUGGCUCCGGCUGGAGUUGCGGCUUCUUAGCUUGUGGGUGGGGUUGUGGCUUCGCCUGGCCUUGACGGGGAGCCGGCCUGGGAGGGGGACAGGCCACAUUGGGACUGAGGAAGGAGCCAGACUGCUACGGGAGGCAGGAGUGGAAGAUAGUGCGAGAUGGGCGGAAGGCGGAUGGAGCAACGCCGGGUGCUGGAUGACGGCCUUCGGGGUGUAACCCGCUUGCGCCUGUGACGAAGAGUGAGUGACGGUAAUUGGUAAAGAAGCACCGGCUAACUACGUG